AGAUGGCGACCGGCGCACGGGUGAGUAACACGUAUCCAACCUGCCGAUAACUCGGGGAUAGCCUUUCGAAAGAAAGAUUAAUACCCGAUGGCAUAAUUAGACCGCAUGGUCUUAUUAUUAAAGAAUUCGGUUAUCGAUGGGGAUGCGUUCCAUUAGGCAGUUGGUGAGGUAACGGCUCACCAACCUUCGAUGGAUAGGGGUUCUGAGAGGAAGGUCCCCCACAUUGGAACUGAGACACGGUCCAA
rnacentral:rRNA from 1 species